CUGGCCUUAGCUCAGUUGGUAGCAGCGGCAGACUGUAGCGGCACCCACGCUAAGAUUGCAAACGUCACAGACAUCUGUAGGUCCCCGGUUCAACUCCGGGAGGCCAGA